CAAACUUGGUCAUUUAGAGGAAGUAAAAGUCSUAACAAGG
rnacentral:rRNA from 1 species